rnacentral:rRNA from 1 species
UGCCCGCCGCGAGCGGCGGGCGGGGCGGGCGCACGGGGGGACGGGGUGCAGCAGGCGCGAAACCUCCUCAAUGCACUAACGUGCGAAGGGGUUACCUCGAGUGCUAUCUGAAGAAGGUGGCUUUUCCAUGGUUUAAAAAGCCUAGGGAAUAAGAGGGGGGCAAGACUGGUGUCAGCCGCCGCGGUAACACCAGCCCCUCGAGUGGUGGGGAUGAUUAUUUGGCCUAAAGCGUCCGUAGCCGGCCAGAUAAGUUUUCCGUUAAAUCCAACGUCUCNAGCGUUGGACUGCGGGAAAUACUGUCUGGCUAGAGAGUGGGAGAGGUUAGCGGUAUUCUGGGGGUAGGGGCGAAAUCCUUUGAUCCCCGGAGGACCACCAGUGGCGAAGGCUGCUAACUAGAACACGUCUGACGGUCAGGGACGAAAGCUGGGGUAGCGAACCGGAUUAGAUACCCGGGUAGUCCCAGCCGUAAACGAUGCAUGCUAGGUGUGGGUUUGGCCAAGAGCCACCCCAGUGCCGCAGGGAAGCCGUUAAGCAUGCCGCCUGGGAAGUACGAUCGCAAGAUUGAAACUUAAAGGAAUUGGCGGGGGAGCACCACCAGGCGUGAAGCCUGCGGUUUAAUUGGAGUCAACGCCGGGAACCUUACCGGAAGCGACAGCAGAGUGAAGGUCAGAUUGAAGAUCUUACCAGACGAGCUGAGAGGAGGUGCAUGGCCGUCGCCAGUUCGUGCCGUGAGGUGUUCUCUUAAGUGAGAUAACGAACGAGACCCGUACCACAUGUUGCCAUCAGAAUCUAAAGGAUUGCUGGGCACUCUUGUGGGACUGCAGCCGAUAAGGCUGAGGAGGGUACGGGCAACGGCAGGUCAGUAUGCCCCGAAUCUUCCGGGCCACACGCGGGCUGCAAUGGUACAGACAGAGGGCUGCCACCCCGAGAGGGGGAGCCAAUCCCUAAACUGUACCUCAGUUGGAAUUGAGGGCUGCAACCCGCCCUCAUGAACAUGGAAUGCCUAGUAACCGCCAGUCAUCAUCUGGCGGUGAAUACGUCCCUGCUCCUUGCACGAAUUCGCCGA